UACGAAGGGUGCAAGCGUUAAUCGGAAUUACUGGGCGUAAAGGGUGCGUAGGCGGCCUCCUGAGUCUGUUGUGAAAGCCCUGGGCUCAACCUGGGAAUGGCAGUGGAUACUGGGAGGCUGGAGUGCGGUAGAGGAUGGCGGAAUUCCCGGUGUAGCGGUGAAAUGCGUAGAGAUCGGGAGGAACAUCAGUGGCGAAGGCGGCCAUCUGGACCAGCACUGACGCUGAGACACGAAAGCGUGGGGAGCAAACAGG
rnacentral:rRNA from 1 species